UCAGCGAGUUAUCAAAAAAAAAAAAAAAGGGUCAGCGGCGGCGAUACGGCGAGCGAGCUCCUCUUCCUGCCUCGCCGCUGCUCAUCUUCCUCUCCGUCCCAUUGCAGGUCCACGGGACGGGAGGAGCCGCGGGCCGCUGCUCCUCGACCGGCACCGAGCAGCGCCACCGUAGGUCCACUCCGCGUGUCGCCGCAUGUCCUUCCUGUUGCCUCUGAUGGGGAUAAGACACGCAUCUGCGGAUCUGCCUCCGGUGCUCCACCACCUUUCCAUCAAGCUGCAGUCUUGCUGCGCUGGUCCUGAUGAAAUGCCUGUUAAAAAAUCAGCAGUAGAGAAGUCCAUAUUGUGCUCGUUUCACAGCUCAAGAAGGCACACUUGGUCAAGCAGGAUCUUAAUCAAGUUAACCAAUGCACCCAAGAUUGCCCAUAUCCCCAUCAAACCCUUGCGGCAUUGGUGAUGGGCCAUGCAGUCUAGGCACAGACAGACAGUUUCUGAUAUUAUUCUGAGGAGAUACACAUCCAUGUAUUAUGCGGAACAUGGCUUGAAGAUAGUGCUAAGUAGCUGGAUGCCAAAAUGGAUACAUGUUUUAGUGCUAUGUUUCAGUGUAAGAUGUUGUUGGAUUUUGUGGAUUUCUCUUCUCUAGUCAGGAAGCUAAGGGGGGAAGCUAGGGAUUUCUGGAAGAACCUUAUCUCCCGAUUCAUUCCUCCUUGUCUCAGUAUAUACAAACUACAUUUACAUUUUAACCCUUCUCACUUUCCUAUUUGCAACUAACUCCUCACAACACUCCCCCUCAAGAUGGGGUGAAAAUGUCUAAGAGCCCCAUCUUGCCACACAACUUAAAGAAGGAUACAACACUCACGCCCUUUGUUAAUACAUCAGCAAGUUGGUCUCCAGUUUUAACAAAACCUACUUGAAGUACUCCCUCAUCAAGUUUCUCCUUAAUAAAAUGUCUAUCAAUUUCGAUAUGUUUUGUUCUAUCAUGCUGAACCGGAUUGUUGACAAUGUUGAUUGCGGCUUGAUUAUCACAAUGGAGCCUGAGUGGUCCUCCUUUAAACAACCGAAGUUCAGUUAAUAAUAAUCGAAGCCAUAACAACUCACAUAGCCCUGAAGCCAUGGAUCGCAGCCCUGCUUCUGCCAUGGAUCUGGCGACAACACUUUGCUUCUUACUCCUCCAACUGACUAAAUUUCCUCCCACGAAGACGCAAUAACCUGAAGUGGAUCUCCUGUCAUCCAAGCACCCAGCCCAAUCAGCGUCUGUGUAUCCCUCAACUUCUAGAUGCCCAUGGUUGGAAAGGAGAAUUCCUUUUCCAGGACAACCUUUGAGAUACCGCAGAAUUCUAUUUACUGCAUCUAGAUGACCUGAUCGAGGAUCAUGCAUAUAUCUACUCACCAGGCUCACGGCAUAUGCAAUGUCUGGUCUAGUAUGGGAUAGAUAAAUUAAACGUCCCACAAGUCUCUGGUAUCUCCCCCUAUCAACAGGUUCUCCUGAAUUGGCUGUAAUACGAAGGUUUGGUUCAAUUGGUGUGGCAGCUGGUUUACUUUCAAGCAUCCUAGUUUCAGCGAGAAGAUCAAGCACAUAUUUCCUUUGAGAGAGAUAGAUACCUUGAGCUCCAUAAGCUACUUCUAUUCCCAGGAAGAAGUGGAGGAAGCCAAGGUCUUUGACUUCAAAUGAUUUCGCCAACAUUUUCUUCAAGUUCUUUAUCUCCACAUCAUCAUUCCCU